rnacentral:rRNA from 1 species
GCUGCGACGCGGUCGCGAAGAUACAAGCCAUGCAUGUCUAAGUACAGGCUUGUGCAAAGUGAAACUGCGAAAAUCCUUUAACGUCAGUUGUGGUUCCUCCGAUCGUUUUACAGUUUGGAUAACUGUAGCAAUUCUAGAGCUAAUACAUGCGAAUAGUCUCUGCUCCGCAAGGAGAGGAGCGCUUUUAUUAGACCAAAACCAACGGGCCGGGCCUCGCGUCCGGCUCCGCGAUUGUGGUGGCUCUGGAUAACUUGGUGCCGAUCGCACGGCCGCUGCGCCGGCGACGUAUCUUUCAAAUGUCUGCCCUAUCAAUUGUCGAAGGUAAGCGAUAUGCCUACCUUGAUGUUAACGGGUAACGGAGAAUCAGGGUUCGACUCCGGAGAGGGAAAAUGAGAAACGGCUACCACAUCCAAGGAAGGCAGCAGGCGCGCAAAUUACCCACUCCUGACACGGGGAGGUAGUGACGAAAACUAACAAUACGGGACUCAUAUGAGGCCCCGUAAUUGGAAUGAGUACACUUUAGGAUCUACUGGAGGGCAAGUCUGGUUACCAGCAUCAUAGCCAGCAGCCGCGGUAAUUGCCGGCGACGCCUGCAGCGUAUAUUAAAGUUGCUGCAGUUAAAAAGCUCGUGGAUCUCGGGACGUGAAAUUCUUGCCCAUGUUUGAUCGUCGAAUGGCACGCUCAUGGCCGUCUACGUAUAGCAGCGGGUGCCCUUAGCUGGGUCGCCCGCCGCACCCGCCGUGUUUACUUUGGAAAAAUUAGAGUGUUCAAAGCAGGCAAUGCUGCCUGAAUAACGUUGCAUGGAAUAAUAGAAUAGGACUCCGGUUCUAUUUUGUUGGUUGUCGGAACUCGGCGUAAUGAUUGAGAGGGACUGCCGGGGGCAUUCGUAUUGCGGCGCGAGAGGUGAAAUUCUAAGACCGUCGCAAGACGAGCGAAGAAAACGGUCACUACUGCGAAGGCAUUUGCCAAGAAUGUUUUCAAGUCAGAGGUUCGAAGACGAUCAGAUACAGGGCUAGUUCUGACCAUAAACGAUGCCGACAGGCGAUCGGCGGGCGUUGUUUCAAUGACCCCGCCGGCAGCCCCCGGGAAACCGAAGUCUUUGGGUUCCGGGGGAAGUAUGGUUGCAAAGGGGACAGUUCAGCAUUUACCUGAAACUUAAAGGAAUUGACGGGGGCCUGCGGCUUAAUUUGACUCAACGCGGGACACCUUUCGAGGCCCGGACAGCGUGAGGAUUGACAGAUUGAGAGCUCUUUCUUGAUUCGGUGGAUGGUGGUGUCCCGCCGUUCUUAGUUGGUGGAGCGAUUUGUCUGGUUAAUUCCGAUAACGAACGAGACUCUGGCCUAUUAAAUAGUGCGCCGGUGCGUCUGCUCGCCGGCGAUCACUUCUUAGAGGGACUAGUGGCGCUUAGCCACGCGAGAUUGAGCAAUAACAGGUCUGUGAUGCCCUUAGAUGUUCUCGGCCGCACGCGCGCCACACUGAAAGAAUCAAAAAGUAGAGAUCCUGGUCUGGAAGGGCCGGGUAAUCUUCUGAAUCUCUUUCGUGCUAGGGACUGGGGCUGGAAUUCCUAGUAAGCACGAGUCAUUAUCUCCACCAGGAGUGGCGGUUCGUAAGUGUUGAUUGCGUCCCUGCCAGGGGUACACACCGCCCGUCGCUACUACCGAUUGAACGGUUUAGUGAGACCCUCGGAUUCGUCCCGGCGCGGCAGUUCGCUGCUGCGCCGCUUAAUCAAGAACGAAGGUCGAACUUGAUCACCUC